rnacentral:rRNA from 1 species
GUCGAGAAUCUUUCACAAUGGGGGCAACCCUGAUGGAGCGACGCCGCGUGGAGGAUAAGGUCUUCGGAUUGUAAACUCCUGUCAUGCGUGAACAAGGUUGCUUGGUUAAUACCUGGGCAAAUUGAUGGUAACGCAAGAGGAAGAGACGGCUAACUCUGUGCCAGCAGCCGCGGUAAUACAGAGGUCUCAAGCGUUGUUCGGAAUCACUGGGCGUAAAGGGUGCGUAAGUGGCGUGGCAAGUCAGAUGUGAAAGCCCGGGGCUCAACCUCGUAACUGCAUCCGAUACUGCCAUGCUAGAGUACUGGAGGGGUGACUAGAAUUCUCGGUGUAGCAGUGAAAUGCGUAGAUAUCGAGAGGAAUACCAAAGGCGUAGGCAGGUCACUGGACAGUUACUGACACUGAGGCACGAAGGCCAGGGGAGCGAACGGGAUUAGAAACCCCUGUAGUCC